GAACUCUUGAUUGAGGGAUUUCAGGAGUUUCAGAGUCUAAUUAAAACGCAAGGGAACACUGCAAAGGCCGCAAAAGCAAGGAGAGAGGGCUGGCAGAAAGUUGCUGACAAAUUAAACUCAGCCACAACAGGACCCACUAGAACAUGGGAACAAGUAAAAGUGAAAUAUAAGAAUAUUCUACAGAAUGCAACCAAGAAAAGGGCAGAGCAAAUAAAGACAGGUGGUGGUCCUGCACCCCCUCGUCACACCCCGGCAGAGGAGCUGGCCCUAGGGUUGAAUGCCACCAGACCCAUUGUUGAGAGCAUCCCUGGGGGCAGCUCUUCCUUAGACCAGCAGCCGGG
ensembl:lncRNA